GCGCACGCUGGCGGCAGGCCUCACACAUGCAAGUCGCACGCACCUUUCGGGGUUAGUGGCGGACGGGUGAGUAACACGUGGGAACGUGCCUUUAGGUUCGGAAUAACUCAGGGAAACUUGUGCUAAUACCGAAUGUGCCCUUCGGGGGAAAGAUUAAUCGCCUUUAGAGCGGCCCGCGUCUGAUUAGCUAGUUGGUUGAGGUAAUGGCUCACCAAGGCGACGAUCAGUAGCUGGUCUGAGAGGAUGAUCAGCCACAUUGGGACUGAGACACGGCCCAAACUCCUACGGGAGGCAGCAGUGGGGAAUCUUGCGCAAUGGGCGAAAGCCUGACGCAGCCAUGCCGCGUGAAUGAUGAAGGUCUUAGGAUUGUAAAAUUCUUUCACCGGGGACGAUAAUGACGGUACCCGGAGAAGAAGCCCCGGCUAACUUCGUG
rnacentral:rRNA from 1 species